ACACAUGCAGUCGAGGGGCAGCAUCAUCAAAGCUUGCUUUGAUGGAUGGCGACCGGCGCACGGGUGAGUAACACGUAUCCAACCUGCCGACAACACUGGGAUAGCCUUUCGAAAGAAAGAUUAAUACCGGAUGGCAUAAUUAUUCCGCAUGGGAUAAUUAUUAAAGAAUUUCGGUUGUCGAUGGGGAUGCGUUCCAUUAGGCAGUUGGCGGGGUAACGGCCCACCAAACCUACGAUGGAUAGGGGUUCUGAGAGGAAGGUCCCCCACAUUGGAACUGAGACACGGUCCAAACUCCUACGGGAGGCAGCAGUGAGGAAUAUUGGUCAAUGGACGAGAGUCUGAACCAGCCAAGUAGCGUGAAGGAUGACUGCCCUAUGGGUUGUAAACUUCUUUUAUACGGGAAUAAAGUUAGCCACGUGUGGCUUUUUGUAUGUACCGUAUGAAUAAGGAUCGGCUAACUCCGUGCCAGCAGCCGCGGUAAUACGGAGGAUCCGAGCGUUAUCCGGAUUUAUUGGGUUUAAAGGGAGCGUAGGCGGGUUGUUAAGUCAGUUGUGAAAGUUUGCGGCUCAACCGUAAAAUUGCAGUUGAUACUGGCGACCUUGAGUGCAACAGAGGUAGGCGGAAUUCGUGGUGUAGCGGUGAAAUGCUUAGAUAUCACGAAGAACUCCGAUUGCGAAGGCAGCUUACUGGAUUGUAACUGACGCUGAUGCUCGAAAGUGUGGGUAUCAAACAGGAUUAGAUACCCUGGUAGUCCACACAGUAAACGAUGAAUACUCGCUGUUGGCGAUAUACGGUCAGCGGCCAAGCGAAAGCAUUAAGUAUUCCACCUGGGGAGUACGCCGGCACGGUGAAACUCAGAGGAAUUGACGGGGGCCCGCACAAGCGGAGGAACAUGUGGUUUAAUUCGAUGAUACGCG
rnacentral:rRNA from 1 species